CUAGUGACGACUACCAUAUUUGGCUCGCUGACAAACAAACACCAGUACUUGAACUGCGUAGCAGCAUAUCAGAGUAAUCCACGCAGAAAUGGAACGGAAAUCACAGAAAAUACAGUAGACGUUGUGGUGGCAGCUGUAGAGAAGUAUUUGGGUAUACGAGAUUUGACUUCAGAGGAGUUACAGUGUGUGUUGAGUGGUAGUGACCCAUCCUAAAAUUAUUCCAAUUGUAGCCUGUUUCCUUGCGUAGGCUAACGUUGCUUGGUUGUACAUCCUCAAUUCUGAAACUGCAAAUGUAACGUUGUUAUUCUUGUAUGGGUUAGAAUCAAAUCAUGUAGUAGGCAAUCAAAUAUUUUAGAGAACUAUGUCCGCAACAGGAAGGAAGUCAUGCAGUAACCCUUUUAGCCACAACUUCCUAAGAAAAGCUGUGGCCUACAUGUGAUGUACAGCGGUUUACAGUUUUUUUACAAUCACUUACACACUAAAGUGGGACUUGAGGCACACUCAGUGAAACCAUUAACUCAUGUGCCUAAUCUUCAGACCAAGUCUGCAAACGUGCAAACACGUUAUCUUUACACUCAGUUUGCAAUUGUAAAACACUUUUUGCAAAACACUCAACACAGUUCUCUACAUUAGACACAUCAUUAAAUGGGGGGGGGGGGGGGGCUGGGACAAGGACGAGGAGAACGAUCACAGAUGAGAUCCGGGCUGUUUUGGUUGAGUUUCAUGGAGGCUGGGCAGAGGUCAGGCCUAUACCUCAGGCCUACAACUUAACUUGAGCUGCUACACUGCAGCAAGUGUCAUCCGGACAUUUCAAAAUGAGAACAGAAUUGCUAGACAACCCUUCAAUGGAGGAAGAAACCGGCUGUUCACUGCAGAGCAGGACCAACACAAUGAAUAUGGUCAUUUUAAACAACCGCAUACGUUUAUGACAACUGCAACCCCACAUCAUCACUGACAACACAACAUUCAGUAACAUAAAUAGUGUGAGUGUAUCCGCACUUGGCCGUCUCCUGAAACGCCAUCAGAUUUGUAUGAAGCAGCUCUACAGAGUACCAUUUGAGUGAAAUUCUGACAGUGUGAAACAACUGCGCUAUGAAUACAGUUAUGGAACUAGAUGCUGUUGCAGAGCAUCAUGAUUUCGUCUACGUUGAUGUCAGCUUUAACAUAGCCAAAACAAGAUGCAGGGGAAGAAACCUCAUAGGACACCGCGCCAUCGUCAAUGUCCCUGGACAGCGUGGUGGCAACAUCACAAUGUGUGCAGCCAUUAGUCAGAACGGUGUCCUUCAUCAUCAUGCCACUCUUGGUCCUUAAAAUACUGCCCACAUUAUCACCUUCCUUGACAUCCUACAUAAUAUCCUCAUUCCCAAUGACCAGAGGAAUGGGCCAGAGCAGUCCAGGUUUGUUGCCAUCUGGGCAACGUAAGUUUCCACCGUGCUGCUCUGGUCCGCAAUUGGUUCAUUGACCAUCCACAAGUUUUGAUGCUCAACCUGCCACCAUAUUCUCCAUUUCUAAACCCAAUAGAAGAGUUAUUUUCGGCAUGGCGUUGGAAGGUAUAUAAUCGCAUACCCCUUCUCCAGGUGAUGGAGGAGGCCUGUGGUGACAUGAGGGAGCAUGCCAGGGCUGGAUACGCCACUUCAGACGCUACUUCCCCCACUGUUUAGCCAGAGAGAACAUCUCUUGUGAUGUUGAUGAGGUGCUGUGGCCAGACUCAAAUAGGAGACAGGAUGCACCCGAAUAGUUUUUGUUCUUUAUAAACUCAGCGAAAAAGUAAAUGUCUUCUUACUGUCAACUGCGUUUAUUUUCAGCAAACUGAACAUGUGUAAAUAUUUGUAUGAACAAAACAAGAUUCAACAACUGAGACAUAAACUGAACAGACAUGUGACUAACAGAAAUUGAAUAAUGUGUCCCUGAACAAA